rnacentral:rRNA from 1 species
GACGAACGCUGGCGGCGUGCUUAACACAUGCAAGUCGAACGGAAAGGCCCUGCUUUUGUGGGGUGCUCGAGUGGCGAACGGGUGAGUAACACGUGAGUAACCUGCCCUUGACUUUGGGAUAACUUCAGGAAACUGGGGCUAAUACCGGAUAGGAGCUCCUGCUGCAUGGUGGGGGUUGGAAAGUUUCGGCGGUUGGGGAUGGACUCGCGGGUUAUCAGCUUGUUGGUGGGGUAGUGGCUUACCAAGGCUUUGACGGGUAGCCGGCCUGGGAGGGUGACCGGCCACAUUGGGACUGAGAUACGGCCCAGACUCGUACGGGAGGCAGCAGUGGGGAAUAUUGCACAAUGGGCGGAAGCCUGAUGCAGCAACGCCGCGUGCGGGAUGACGGCCUUCGGGUUGUAAACCGCUUUCGCCUGUGACGAAGCGUGAGUGACGGUAAUGGGUAAAGAAGCACCGGCUAACUACGUG